UUAGGGAUAUUUGUUUUACGACUCAGAGUAUGAGAAUGAGGCAGUGAGAGGAACAAGGGUUUCUGAGGGUGGUUGCCGCCUCUCCAUGCCGAUGAUUUCCAUUGUUUUCUUUCAAACUCCAACAACCCUCUGAUAUAUAUAUGUAUAUAUUUAUAUAUAUUCGUAUGUAUGUAUGUGUAUGUAUAUAUAGAGAGAGACAGAGAAAGAUCGUUGAAGUUAUGACAUGCAAUUCCCCAUCCAAACACCCCUAAACCCAGAGGCUAUGAUGAUUAAAAGUGAUCUGAGUCAAAUCGGGACAUGAUUUGAGAUUAUCCGCAGCUUGGCAGGGCAUAUAAUCGGAGGACGGCGAUUGUGAGAAUGCAACCUCUGUAUUUGCAGCCAUGGCGGUUUAAUCCUCUUGUUCCGAUCGUAAAACAGAUCUGAGCCUCCGAUAAAUACACACUUCAAACUCCAAAAUACGUUUGUCUCUACAACAAAGAACAGAAUGUCAGGUUAGUUUUCAUACUUUUUUGAUUAAUCAUUCCCUGUGUUUUUAUUGUUUAUGCAUGAUGUAUGUUAAGUGUGUGUUGUCUAUUGUGAUGUGUUUUCAAAACAAAAUUAUUGCAUAAUGUAUGUUUGGUGUUUGUGUUGUGUUGUGCAUUGAAAGCUUUAUUUUUUUCGGAUUAUUUUUAAAAAUUCAUUAAUAGCAUCGUACUUUUAAAAA